UGUAAUUUCACUGCAUUUUUGUUUUCUUGUUUUCCGUUUUAGUGUCCGGUAGUGGAGCCGACAGUUUGGUGAAUUUCCAAACUGGCCCGCCGGCGGGUAACAUGGGCGUGUACGGGGCCCGCUUGUAAUAAGAUAAAAUAGAAAAGAAAAAUAAAUCAUAUUAA
rnacentral:ribozyme from 1 species